CCCUUAGAUGUCCUGGGCCGCACGCGCGCUACACUGAUCGGUGCAACAAGCAUCCGUCCUUGGCCGACAGGCCCGGGCAAUCUUUGAACGCCGGUCGUGAUGGGGAUAGACCUUUGCAAUUUUUGGUCUUCAACGAGGAAUUCCUAGUAAACGCAAGUCAUCAACUUGCAUUGAUUACGUCCCUGCCCUUUGUACACACCGCCCGUCGCACCUACCGAUUGAAUGGUCCGGUGAAACCUCCGGAUUGGCGCGUGCCCUCGGGCGCCGCCGAGAAGUUGGUUAAACCUUACCAUUUAGAGGAAGGUGAANUCGUAACA
rnacentral:rRNA from 1 species